AAAGAGAAAGAGAGAUGAGAAAGGAGAAAGGAAAAGAAGCUAGGGUUUGUGAGAGAUGAAGAGUAGAGAAGCCAAACCACCUUAGAUCUGUCGUUGGAGAUCGAAUCCAAGGCAAGAAACUUCGAAGCAAGACUUCUCUCAGUGCUCGAAAAGGAGUUUGGGUGGUGGAUUCACCCAUUCCAGUACGAAAAUCCGAGAACAAACAAAGAGAGAGAAAGAGACCGUCACGCGUCGACCGCAAACGAAGGAGCGCGGCGGAGCCGGCGUGCGCCAUGUGGCGACAUUCCACUGGUACAUUGCGUUCGGCCACUCCGUCGACACGCGUUAAGCGCGGAGUCGAGUCGACCCGAACGUCCGCCAAACCGAGCCAGAAACCUGCGAACCAACCCGACACCUUCCACCAAUCAAUGUGCGCCACGUGUCACGCCCACAAAAUUUGAGGGGUAAGUCUACGCCCGCUAGGGUUUGAAAUGCGGCACUGCCAGCGCAUGUGGCCUGCGCGUGGAGGUCGCACGUGUUGUGGGAGCAUGUUGGUGCGUGUGUGAGCGUGUCGGUGCGUGCACGGCACGUGUGACCCUAUUCUCUCACCCGCUCAGCCUCUGUUUGCUUGUUUUUCGUCCCGAUUUCAACUUUGAUCCUAUUUUUAUGUGAAUUAGGACCUAUCAAAGAAAUUCUAUAAUUUUUAGAACCUUUUUCGA